rnacentral:rRNA from 1 species
UGGGGAAUAUUGCGCAAUGGGCGAAAGCCUGACGCAGCUACGCCGCGUGGGUGAUGAAGGCCUUCGGGUUGUAAAGCCCUGUCGAGGGGGAAGAAGUAUGACGGUACCCCUCAAGAAAGCGCCGGCUAACCCUGUGCCAGCAGCCGCGGUAAUACAGGGGGCGCGAGCGUUGCUCGGAAUCACUGGGCGUAAAGCGUACGCAGGCGGACCGUUAAGUCGGGUGUGAAAUCCCAGGGCUCAACCCUGGACGUGCAUUCGAUACUGGCGGUCUCGAGUACGGGAGAGGUGAGUGGAAUUCCUGGUGUAGAGGUGAAAUUCGUAGAUAUCAGGAGGAACACCGGUGGCGAAAGCGGCUCACUGGCCCGAUACUGACGCUCAUGUACGAAAGCGUGGGGAGCAAA